rnacentral:rRNA from 1 species
GACGAACGCUGGCGGCGUGCUUAACACAUGCAAGUCGAACGGAAAGGCCCUGCUUUUGUGGGGUGCUCGUUUGGCGAACGGGUGAGUAACACGUGAGUAACCUGCCCUUGACUUUGGGAUAACUUCAGGAAACUGGGGCUAAUACCGGUUAGGAGCUCCUGCUGCAUGGUGGGGGUUGGAAAGUUUGGGCGGUUUGGGAUGGACUCGCGGCUUAUCGGCUUGUUUGGGGGGUAGUGGCAGACCAAGGGUUUGACGGGUAGCCGGCCUGAGAGGGGGACCGGCCACAAUAGGACUGAGAUACGGCGCAGACUCCUACGGGACGCAGCAGGGGAGAAUAUGGCAGAAUGGGGGGAAGCCAGAUGCGGCAGCGCCGCGAGCGGGAUGACGGGCUACGGGUUGAGAACAGCUGUCGCAGGAGACGAGGCGUGAGUGACGGUAAUGGGUAAAGAAGCACCGGCUAACUACGUG